rnacentral:lncRNA from 1 species
GUCAUUAGUCAUUAUAUAUAUAUAUAUAUAAAAUUUUAUUUAUAAAUAUAUAUUCAUUUAUUAUAUAUAAUAUUUUAUUUAUAAAUUUGUAAUUAUUUAUUAAUAUUUCUAAAUAUAUAACUCUUAUAUAUUAUUAAUAUAUAUUUAUUAUAAUUUUGAAUAUAUUUUAUCUAUAUAUAAAAAUUAUAAUAAUAAUAUAUAUAUAUAUAUUAUAUUAAUUAUUAUAUAUUUAUUAUAUAGCCAAAUUUUUGAUUCCGAAGUUUUAAUUGGUGAACAUAUAAUAUCCGUAUGAAUCACGUAUCCGAAUAAUUACCAAAUCCGUUUUUUAGCCGUAUUUUUCAACAAAUUAAAAAAUUAAAAGACGAAUUUUAUCCGAAUUAUAUUCGUACCGAAUUUUUGCCGAAUCCGAAUUAACUGACUAUGGUAGGAACACAUGAGUUUAUUGCGUUGAGUUUAGUAGAUCAGAGCAUGAUGCCCUAACCCUGCCGGGUCACAGGAUUAGAUCGAAUCCUAGCAUUAGUACGCCUAAACCAGUUGGGCGAUGAGCUUGGUGACGGCGAUGUAGCGAAGUCAGCGACAACGACGCAACAAGCAGCGAGAGGAAAGAAGAGGGUGAGAGAAGUAGAGAAAGGAAAGAAGAGAAUAGAAGAAGAAGAGAGGAUGAGAGGCGUAUGACAAAAAUAAAGCAGUAAACGAUUGACUGCUUUAUAUUAUGCAUUAUGAUAGCAUAUUUAAGACGUUGAAAACUUUGAACGAUUUGCUAUUUUUCACUUCUUCGGCACUAGCAAUGAGUUGGACAACAUUGGGUUAGUUUGUUAAAUAAAUUUUCAUUAAGAUUAUUUGGCUAAAUAUAAUAUGUUUAAGAUUAUUCUGAAAAAAAAAAAU